rnacentral:rRNA from 1 species
AGAGUUUGAUCAUGGCUCAGAUUGAACGCCGGCGGCAUGCCUAACACAUGCAAGUCGAACGGCAGCAUGAGGUGUAGCAAUACACCUUGAUGGCGAGUGGCGGACGGGUGAGGAAUGCAUCGGAAUCUGCCCAGUCGUGGGGGAUAACGUAGGGAAACUUACGCUAAUACCGCAUACGACCGUGAGGUGAAAGCGGGGGAUCGAAAGACCUCGCGCGAUUGGAUGAGCCGAUGCCGGAUUAGCUUGUUGGCGGGGUAAUGGCCCACCAAGGCGACGAUCCGUAGCUGGUCUGAGAGGAUGAUCAGCCACACUGGGACUGAGACACGGCCCAGACUCCUACGGGAGGCAGCAGUGGGGAAUAUUGGACAAUGGGGGCAACCCUGAUCCAGCAAUGCCGCGUGUGUGAAGAAGGCCUUCGGGUUGUAAAGCACUUUUAUCGGGGACGAAAUCGGCGAGGCCAAUACCCUUGUCGUCUGACGGUACCCGAGGAAUAAGCACCGGCUAACUCCGUGCCAGCCGCCGCGGUAAUAC